CAGUAUUCAAUCCUACACGUUAUUGUACUACAGUACAGUAGGUGGCGGUAUACUGUAGUGUGCUGUUCAUGUCCGCAUCGUCAUACGCGCCAGCACCGCUGAAAGACUGCAGGAACAGAAACCCCUGGAAAGAUGAGUUCCCUAUUAAAGAGAGGCUUGAUGCUGUUUACUACACACUCUUAGGCUGAUUUUGGAUUAUUUGUCUGUGAAGACACAGUAGUUCAGUUUCUGAAUCCCAUCAAGAAUGAAGACCUGCAGGCCACCAUAUUGAGCUGGUCUGAUGUCAUGAUAUGGCGCUUUUCCAAUGUAGGGUACAACUUGGCUCGGCACGAUGCAGCUCAGCUCGCUUUGGUUGCUUUUCCAGUACAGUUUAGUAUCGCUUCAGAGUGGGUGAGAUUAUAGGCAGGGGUGCACAUAAGGGUGUGUAUGCGCGAUUAGAAACAAUUCCAGCGUACCAACGUCGCUGGAAUUUUGUUACAUAGUUAGCUAAUUUACUGCGACAUCUCGAUCACUCCCCAGUGACUGGUCCCAGUAUAGGUCAUAAACCCCGCCUCCCCCAUGUUAUUCAAUGGGACUUGAGACCUGUUAGAUACAAAAUAAACUUCAGUAUGUAAAACGUUUUCUCUUUAUUUAUCCACCGAUAACAUCCGCUCCAACAGGAGCACUAAAACAACAACCGGCUUUCCGCCCGGGCUUCAUAAUAAGAGUCACCUUUUAGCUUCCGUAAAAGGUCAUGUGAAAUAAUAAACAAUAUUUAGCAUAAAGCUAUAAUAUACAUAAACACAUUUUUAAUGUCUUAAACUUAACAAGACCAACUAAACAAUUAAAUUACACUUCAAUUAUCUUUUUUCCGAAGCUUGUUUUUGUCAUUUACUGUAGGUUUUAUCAUGCUGAUGUAAAUUCAAGUGUUUGUUUUUAAAAUAAGUUUGUUUUUAGUUAGUUAGUUAAUGCUAUAAAAACGGUGGUGUCACGUCAUGAUUGACAGCUGUGUAUGCACAUUCUGGGAGAGUGAGGGCGGGGCCUUGAUUUCGCGGCUUUACUUCCUGCUCACUACUGCAAAGGACUGGUCCCGAAAUUGCUACUGCGCAGACUCAAAACCCAAGAUGUCAGCGGCGACACUGGCGGCUUCACUUUUCACCAAUGGAAGAGAGCAAGCUCUCCAGGUGCUCCUUUUAGAACUAGGACAAAAAAAAGUUAUGUGCACCCCUGAUUUUAGGCUUAUUGUUACAGUUGCGUCCCCUCUACUGCCGUAACAUCAUCGUAAAUGCGAUACAAACACACACACACACAACAUGGAGCAACAGAGCAUAUUAAUGGAAUGUAGCCACAAAAUCAAAAUUGACAGCCACAACUACAUUUUCCACUACCUCUCUCACAUGACAGGUUCUGUACAAACACCCAUGUCAUCAGUACCUGCACUAUGCGGACAGAACAUUUAAGCCAUGACGCCUAUAUUUUUGGUGCGUUUUGGAUGCGGAGCCAUGCGCAAAGUUACAAAAAUGCCAUGCAGACAUAGGCAUGGUGGUGUGCUCUGCAUUUUUGUAACUUUACACAUGACUUCACAUCCGAAACCCAUUACUCCUCACCCAAAAGUGAGCUGUGCUGAACUGGGUCAUACUAUGCAGUGGAAAGGCGCCAAAAGUGUCCUACUUCGUGGCUUGAAGGAUUUAGGUAGGCAAAUUUAUUUGACACAUCACAACCUAAAACUUUAUAAAAAAAAAGUUUAAAUUUUUUCUUGCAGUGUAAACACGGCAUUUUGAUCUUAACAUUUAUUCACAUUUAAUGAGAUAUAGAGAUUUUUAUCUUUCACAGAUGAAUGCAUUUGAGUGAGUCGUUUUUAUGUCUAAACACCGCGGUCCACCAUACAUGAAAGUCACCAUCAUGUUUCUACAGUAGCCCAAGACGGACAAACUGUUCUACAGAGCGUGUUUUGUCCAUACGUUGUCUCAAGGGCUCAUUAUAGCAAACAUACAUGCAGACCGCUGGUAGGCAGUUUCCACGCGUGUAACCACAGAAGCAGCUUGGCUAGUUUAACUCACAAAUGAAGAAACAGCAGAUUGUUGUGUAUGUUUUGAGAAGACCAACAGCAGUGGCGGCCGGUGACUUCUUUUUUUGAGGGCACUCGAUUCGAAGUUCAUCACAACAUGUAUGUAGCCCGUCAUGUGUGUGGUUUCUUUUUUCAAAAUAUGUGUUCUGCGCUUUGAGAGAUCCUAUGUGCAUCACGUGUCAUGUCAAAAUAAGUGCCUGCUGCAGAUGCGUCUAAAGGGUUUAUAAUAAAAGAGACACUCACGAUUGCCAGAUACUCACAUAAUCUCAUGCGUAAUCAGAGUUUACUGUUUAGGGAGUGUCUUGCAUGUAUUUUGUGAACGUGAGUGUCUCUUUUUUAUCAUAAACGGUUUUGACGCGUGUGCAGCAGGCACUUAUUAUGACAAAACAUGUGAUGCACAGGAUCUCUCAACACGCAGGACACAUAUUUUGAAAAAGGCACAUGAUACUCCGUACACUUAUUUUGAAUUAGCGCCCCUCGGAUGAGGAGUAACGAACGCCACUGACCAGCAGUAAUGGAAGUAAAUAAACAGCGAAUCGUUGCAGUUUAAGUAAAAUCACUCCUAUCUUUGUUCUCACCAUAGCAAUUGGAAAUUUCUAUGAUGCAGUUUUUUACCUGAUGAGAGGGGUUCUAAUGGACUAGUAACAGCGCUUGUAGUCCGCGUAGAACUGAAGCACUGUUAAAAAUCAGACUACACAGAGCUACGCUCAGGCUAGGGAUAACCUACGGUGUAGACCUUACGCACGCACUAUAACAUGGGCUUCAGACAAUGACAUUUUUGUCCUGUGGCAGCUACCAUAGAAUCUCAUUGCGUUUAGAAAUUGAGGUUGAUUGCUGUUUGCAAUUUCACCGCUAGAUGCCACAACAAAAUAUAAUACACAUUUAACAUAUAUAACUUUUUGAUUUUAAAUAUGGAUUAGCAAAUGCUGAAAUUAACAUGAACUAAGAUUAAUAAAUAUUGUAGAAGUAUUGUUUAUUGUUAGUUCAUGGUAGCAAAUGCUAACAAAUACAAGCUUAUUGUAAAGUGUUACCAUUGCAAUUUGAUACUAAACCUAAAAAUGUGUAAAUGUCUUACCUGUAUCUUUUUCACUGU